GGCGUCGUGUGCUGCCGGGCCGGGGAUGCACAGAAGACGCACCUCAACAGAACAGAACAGAUAGAAAGUUGGUGAAGGGUAAAGAGCUUGGAUAGAAGAAGAUAAAAAGAAGGGAAAAUGAAAGACAAUAAUUCUAGAUCAAAGAACUGCAUCCCUGAGGGAAGGCUGUACACAAGGCUAUCCCGCAUGCUGCUUCAGCCAGCCGCACACCAGGUGCCUCCUUACUACCUAUAUACUGACUGACCACCGUCUUGACUACCACCACAGUAACCACUAUUACUACUACAACUACCACCACCACCAACAUUGUUCGCCACCACAGUUCGUCUGCCACAACCACAAGUGCAUCCUACCACAAUUUAAAUGUGAUGAUUAUGACCACUGUGGUGAUGGCAGUGAUGAGAUGGAUUGUGGUAGUAGUGGUGGUGGUGGUGGUGGUGGUGGCUGGGAAGUAAUGUUGGUAGGUGGAAAACAUGACUACAGUGGAAAU